AAGUCGUAACAAGGUUUCCGUAGGUGAACCUGCGGAAGGAUCAUUAUGAAUUAAAAAUAUUUGUGAAUUUACCACAACAAACAAAAAUACUAUAGUCAAAACAAAAAUAAUUAAAACUUUUAACAAUGGAUCUCUUGGUUCUC
rnacentral:misc_RNA from 1 species